rnacentral:rRNA from 1 species
AAGAUUUCUGGAAUGGAUCGUGUCUUAAAUCUACAUGGCCCCUGGAUUGGACUGCGGCCGAUCAGGCUGUUGGUGAGGUAAUGGCCCACCAAACCUAUAACCGGUACGGGCUCUGAGAGGAGAAGCCCGGAGAUGGGCACUGAGACAAGGGCCCAGGCCCUAUGGGGCGCAGCAGGCGCGAAACCUCUGCAAUGGGCGAAAGCCUGACAGGGUUACUCUGAGUGAUUUCCGCUAAGGAGAUCUUUUGGCAGCUCUAAAAAUGGUGCAGAAUAAGGGGUGGGCAAGUCUGGUGUCAGCCGCCGCGGUAAUACCAGCACCCCGAGUGGUCGGGACGAUUAUUGGGCCUAAAGCAUCCGUAGCCGGUCGUGCAAGUCCUCCGUUAAAUCCAGCCGCUCAACGGAUGGGCUGCGGAGGAUACUACAGGACUAGGAGGCGGGAGAGGCAAGCGGUACUUAGUGGGUAGGGGUAAAAUCCUUUGAUCCAUUGAAGA